CGAACCGCCAUUGACUUCAAUGGGCAGGCGAAUUUUAAAACACACAGGGACUCUUUCUGGCCACAAUAGUGAUGGAAAAGUUGUUUCAAGGGGACUAACACCUGGACUGUGGCAUGCCGGAGGGGGAUCCAUGGCAAAACUCCCAUGGAAAAUUACACGGUUGAUACAGAGUCUGGUUUUAAUCCAUAAAGGGCAGAAAUCACCUAACAUUCCUAAAUCACAAU